GUCGCCUCCUUCUUGGGGGAAGACGGGGACGUGGCAUAGCCGCCCACGCGCCGCGGGGGUCCCGAGCCAUUGAGGGGCGUCCUGGUGGGAAGGCCUUUCAGGAGCUGGCACACUGGAGCGAACGGCGUUGGAGGAGAGCAGAGGCGCCCUGGCCGUGUGACCUUGGGGAAGUCCCUUGCUGUCAACGAAGAUUCUGAGAAUCCUAGAAGCCUCUCGCUCUGGCGUCAAGAUUCAAUGAGUGCUGGGUGAGGUGGUGAACCCCUGUGAUCCCAGCACUCUUGGGAAGCUGAGGCAGGACGACCGAAAGUUGGAGCUCAGCCUGGGCAAGUUAGUAAGACCCUAUCUCAAAAUAAAAAAUUCAAAAAGG